rnacentral:sRNA from 1 species
UGAGAGAGAGGGUUUUGGUCUGUCACUCAGGUUGGCAUGUUGCACUCUACAGGCACGUGCUACUACACUCAGCUAACUGUUGAAUUUUUUUGUAGAGAUGGCGUCUCAUUAUGCUGUCCAGGCUUGUCUCAGACUCCUGGCCACAAAUGAUCUUACCUGCCUUGGCCUUCCAAAGUGCUGGGAUUACAGGUGUGAGUCAUUGCAUCCCAGCCACUAAUUUGUCUCAUUUUAUUUCUUUCAGGAAAGUUCACAUCCUUGGCUCCUUCCAAAAUAUCAAGAUGGCAAGAACUGCCAUUUGCAACCUAAUCUUGGGAAAUCCUCCUUCCAAGGUUUAUGGCAAUAUUCGAGCUGUGGCUAGCAGAUCAGCAGAUCGAUUCUGAUUUCAAGUCAGAGACUUUUUAUCUUGCCUUUGGACUCUGGUGAAAAAUACUUUACAGUAGUCGGUCACAAGAAACCAUCUGAACAACUUCAGUCAUUUGAAGCCUCCGUCCCUUCUUCCAUUCUCAGCCAGAAGCAUAAACAGAAAAGAAAGAUUUAAGAGU